UGGUAGUNCACGCCGUAAACGAUGAGUGCUAGGUGUUAGGCCCUUUCCGGGGCUUAGUGCCGGAGCUAACGCAAUAAGCACUCCGCCUGGGGAGUACGACCGCAAGGUUGAAACUCAAAGGAAUUGACGGGGGCCCGCACAAGCGGUGGAGCAUGUGGUUUAAUUCGAAGCAACGCGAAGAACCUUACCAGGUCUUGACAUCCCGAUGCUAUUCUUAGAGAUAGGAAGUUACUUCGGUACAUCGGAGACAGGUGGUGCAUGGUUGUCGUCAGCUCGUGUCGUGAGAUGUUGGGUUAAGUCCCGCAACGAGCGCAACCCUUAUUGUUAGUUGCCAUCAUUAAGUUGGGCACUCUAGCGAGACUGCCGGUAAUAAACCGGAGGAAGGUGGGGAUGACGUCAAAUCAUCAUGCCCCUUAUGACCUGGGCUACACACGUGCUACAAUGGUCGGUACAACGAGUUGCGAGCCGGUGACGGCAAGCUAAUCUCUGAAAGCCGAUCUCAGUUCGGAUUGGAGGCUGCAACUCGCCUCCAUGAAGUCGGAAUCGCUAGUAAUCGCGGAUCAGCACGCCGCGGUGAAUACGUUCCCGGGCCUUGUACACACCGCCCGUCACACCACGAGAGUUUGUANCACCCGAAGUCGGUGAGGUANCCUUUUAGGG
rnacentral:rRNA from 1 species